UACAGAGGGUGCAAGCGUUGUUCGGAAUUAUUGAGCGUAAAGCGCGUGUAGGCGGCUUUGCAAGUCGGGUGUGAAAGCCCUCAGCUCAACUGAGGAAGUGCGCCCGAAACUGCAGAGCUUGAGUACCGGAGAGGAUGGCGGAAUUCCCCAAGUAGAGGUGAAAUUCGUAGAUAUGGGGAGGAACACCGGUGGCGAAGGCGGCCAUCUGGACGGAUACUGACGCUGAGACGCGAAAGCGUGGGGAGCAAACAGG
rnacentral:rRNA from 1 species